UACCCUUGACAUGUCCGGAAUCCUGCAGAGAUGCAGGAGUGCCCGAAAGGGAGCCGGAACACAGGUGCUGCAUGGCUGUCGUCAGCUCGUGUCGUGAGAUGUUGGGUUAAGUUCCGCAACGAGCGCAACCCUCGCCCUUAGUUGCCAUCAUUCAGUUGGGCACUCUAGGGGGACUGCCGGUGAUAAGCCGCGAGGAAGGUGGGGAUGACGUAGACCUUGGACC
rnacentral:misc_RNA from 1 species